rnacentral:rRNA from 1 species
GGGUUGUGAGGUUAAGCGACUAAGCGUACACGGUGGAUGCCCUGGCAGUCAGAGGCGAUGAAGGACGUGCUAAUCUGCGAUAAGCGUCGGUAAGGUGAUAUGAACCGUUAUAACCGGCGAUUUCCGAAUGGGGAAACCCAGUGUGAUUCGUCACACUAUCAUUAACUGAAUCCAUAGGUUAAUGAGGCGAACCGGGGGAACUGAAACAUCUAAGUACCCCGAGGAAAAGAAAUCAACCGAGAUUCCCCCAGUAGCGGCGAGCGAACGGGGAGCAGCCCAGAGCCUGAAUCAGUGUGUGUGUUAGUGGAAGCGUCUGGAAAGGCGCGCGAUACAGGGUGACAGCCCCGUACACAAAAAUUCACAU